AUACGAAGGGGGCUAGCGUUGUUCGGAAUUACUGGGCGUAAAGCGCGCGUAGGUGGACUGAUCAGUUGGGGGUGAAAUCCCAGGGCUUAACCCUGGAACUGCCUCCAAUACUGUCAGUCUUGAGUUCGAGAGAGGUGAGUGGAAUUCCUAGUGUAGAGGUGAAAUUCGUAGAUAUUAGGAAGAACACCAGUGGCGAAGGCGGCUCACUGGCCCGAUACUGACGCUGAGGCGCGAAAGCGUGGGGGGCAAACAGGAUUAGAUACCCUAGUAGUCC
rnacentral:rRNA from 1 species